AAUAUCUGUGCAUUACUGCAUUACUCUAGUGGACAAUGAUGAUAUUUAUCUGAGAAUAUUUAUGAAGUCAGCGGCACACAAUUUACUAGUGACAAAUGUGAAAAACAUGAAAUAACGUUGAAGAUUUGCACUAACGUUUCACUCGAUUCACUCUUGGUAGAAAAGAUAAACAACACAAUCGAAGAAUGUUGAUUUUCCUAAACUUUCAGUCGUGCCGUCAGUAUGCCCAAAACUGUCAGAUUUCCCAAAUCUGUCACCAUCAUGUGGGCUACGGUUUAUCUAUGGUUUAUCUGUGGUUGACGUGCGCAGUACCCCGCUGGUAAAGUGUAAUAAAGAGUGCCGCAUAAAUUCAAAAUUUGCAACGGUCUACCUGACAAUCGAAUAUAAACGAAACUACAAAUCAACCCAAAUUUAAGUUGUUUUGACGCAAUACCGGUCUUCCGUGGAAUUACUCAAAUUUGCGUCAAACAGCGAUAGUGGUGAGUAGGUAGUUCUCGUUUGAUCGCUGCAAAACAAAAAUACCCAGUGGUAAGUUAUUUUAACCCAGCGGAAACCUUAUUUGACGUAAAUUUGAGUUAAGUCAAGAUAACCCAAAUUUGGCUUCUUCCACGGAGCUACUCGGGUGUGCUUCUCUCUUUGUUUUUGACAACAUUCGUGUGGGGUAAGGGAGAAAACAACCCAAUGCUGAGUAAAAACUAAAAUCGGUUUAGUCAAAUUUGUGUUUUUAAAACUUAUUCGCUGGGUUUUAAUAUUUUUCAGUGUAACGGACGGCUAUACUCCACUGCACUGUGACGUCACGCAAAAGUUUUGACAGGUGGUGGUCCUGUUGUUUACGUUUCGUACUUAGAAGAAUUUUCGAUUUUUCAAAGUGAUUAGUGUCGGAGCCAAUCAUGCCCUGGAAGUGCUGUGUGUUUAAGUGUAAAUCCACCGUGAAAAGCCCUGGAAUCAAAUUUUUCCGUUUCCCUACGGUAGGGAAAUGUUUGAAGCAGCUAACCAGCGAGAGGAUUCAGGCGUGGAAAAGUGCUCUUGGUUAUGGAGACACUUCUACUCCCCUCAACAAACGAAUUUGUAGCAUUCAUUUCCGAAGCGGUAAGAAAUUCCUAUUUUACCACAAGUCACCAACAAAAACUGACGAAAACUGACCAUUUAAUACAGGUAAACCAGCGCGUCUUACAGAAACUCAGGAUGCAGAUUGGAUACCAUCACAGAAACUGCCCAAAUCGGCAAAAUUAGCAAGUUCGCCGGUAGAACAACAGAACACAGAUUCAGAUUCUGCAUCCGAAUUAUGUAAAUCGGCAAGGUGCUCAAAUAAAUCGAUACUUUCACCAGGAUCGCCAUCAAGAGAUUUCAGAGAAGGAUCCGAAAACGACUCUUCUUCCGCUGGAACUCGCACACCCACGCUUUCAGAGACACGGAGUGCCGAUUCAAGGAAGUCGAGUUGUAGUCAAAGAUCACGCACGGUAUCUAGCGAAUCUGCAGCUUCCACAGUGGACUCCCAAGUCAGCCAGAAUGAUACCAGUUCUAGCUCGAGAUCAAGUGCAGUUUCGAAAGCAUGCAGUUCCAGUUCUGGUACAUCAGAAUCUAGACGAUCGAAUGUGCAACAUCGAGAAGGAUACGAUUCUUUUUCAGAUUCAUCUGAAUCAAACAGUAUUGUUCCAGACCAUCAGAGCAUCACGUUUUCUCCAAUUCGAGGAGAUUCUAGGGAGAAUGCCGAAGAUUCAAACUCUUCAUGUGGGAGCCAAGAGCAAGGAAAUUCAUUCUCCAGCUCUACAAAUCGAUCGUUAGAAGACAGUAGAAACAAAAGUUCUAAGCCUAGUGAUCAACCUGCCCGUGCAUCAGCAUCUAUGCUACGAUCGAGACCAUACGUGAUUCCAUUGCAAGCCUACGAUUACAAAGAGGACAAACCUAAGACGAAGAAUGCUGCAACAAUGACAGAAGCCUGUUGUUCGCCGGAUACUUCGUGUGAAAUUCUUGGAAAUUACCAGCAGGAAUUACAACGCCUCCAGGGAAUACUCAGCUCUUUUCAGAGUCAGGCAGAUUUUUUGGAACGUGGGUUCAAGUUUAUAUCUGUGAGCGAUGAGAAGUGCCUUUAUUACACUUGCAUUACAAAUUUUUCAACAGUCAAAAAUAUCUACGAAUACCUGGAGCCUAAUUUGAGUAUACCAUAUUGUGACUUUUCAACUGAGCAGAUGUUUGUUAUGACUCUCACUAAGCUGAGAUUGAAUCCACAGUUCCAAACGCUUGCCUAUGAUUAUAAUGUCUGUUUGAAUACUAUUUCAACCGUACACUGCAAUCAAUGGA